rnacentral:rRNA from 1 species
GAAGGGUGCAAGCGUUAAUUGGAAUUACUGGGCGUAAAGCGCGCGUAGGUGGUUCAGUAAGUUGGAAGUGAAAUCCCCGGGCUCAACCUGGGAACUGCUUUCAAAACUGCUGAGCUAGAGUACGGUAGAGGGUGGUGGAAUUUCCUGUGUAGCGGUGAAAUGCGUAGAUAUAGGAAGGAACACCAGUGGCGAAGGCGACCACCUGGACUGAUACUGACACUGAGGUGCGAAAGCGUGGGGAGCAAA